CCUGCAGCGGAGCCGCGGCGCCGGCUUGGAGCUGUUCGGGGCUGUGCCUCCAAGAGCGAGCUACGGAGGCGGGCUGGGGCACUCCCAGCUGCCCAGGGCCACUCGGCUGUGUCAGGUGUGGAUCCAUGGGGUAGCUCCAGCACAUCUACCCCAGCCAGCUCAUGGGCCACCUGGCCCUGCCCAGCCUCAGCACCCAGAGCCAGUGAACACCCUGGCUGGAUUCCAAAUAUGUGGGGCCUUGUGAGGCUCCUGCUGGCCUGGCUGGGUGGUUGGGGCUGCAUGGGGCAUCUGACAGCCCUAGUCCAGGCCAGGACGGGGUCCCAGGGGCGCUCAGGUCCUACACUGCUGCGAACCCGAAGGAGCUGGGUCUGGAACCAGUUUUUUGUCAUUGAGGAAUAUGCUGGUCCAGAGCCUGUCCUUAUUGGCAAGCUGCACUCCGAUGUUGACCGGGGUGAAGGCCGCACCAAGUACCUGCUGACCGGGGAGGGGGCAGGCACUGUAUUUGUGAUUGAUGAGGCUACAGGAAAUAUUCAUGUGACCAAGAGCCUAGACCGGGAGGAGAAAGCCCAAUAUGUGCUGCUGGCCCAAGCUGUGGACCGAGCUUCCAACCGGCCCCUGGAGCCUCCAUCAGAGUUCAUUAUCAAAGUGCAGGACAUCAAUGACAACCCACCUGUAUUUCCCCUUGGGCCCUACCAUGCCACGGUACCUGAGAUGUCUAACGUUGGGACAUCCGUGAUCCAGGUGACUGCUCAUGAUGCUGAUGACCCCAGCUAUGGGAACAGUGCCAAGCUGGUAUAUACUGUGUUGGAUGGAUUGCCUUUCUUCUCUGUGGACCCCCAGACUGGAGUGGUGCGUACAGCCAUCCCCAACAUGGAUCGGGAGACCCAGGAGGAGUUCUUGGUGGUGAUCCAGGCCAAGGACAUGGGUGGCCACAUGGGGGGGCUGUCAGGCAGCACUACAGUGACAGUCACCCUCAGCGAUGUCAACGACAACCCACCCAAGUUUCCUCAGAGCUUGUACCAGUUCUCUGUGGUGGAGACUGCAGGGCCUGGAACCCUGGUGGGUCGGCUACAGGCCCAGGACCCAGACCUGGGGGACAACGCCCUCAUGGCAUACAGCAUCCUGGAUGGGGAAGGGUCAGAGGCUUUCAGCAUCAGCACAGACUCUCAGGGCCAAGAUGGGCUCCUCACUAUCCGGAAGCCCUUAGACUUCGAGACCUGUCGCUCCUACUCUUUCCGUGUGGAAGCCACCAACACACUCAUUGACCCAGCCUACCUGCGGCGAGGUCCGUUUAAGGAUGUAGCCUCAGUGCAUGUGGCUGUACAAGAUGCUCCAGAGCCACCUGCCUUCACCCAGGCCAUCUACCACCUGAUAAUACCUGAGAACAAAGCUCCUGGAACCCUGGUGGGCCAGGUCUCAGCCACUGACCUGGACUUUCCAGCCAGCCCAAUAAGAUACUCCAUCCUCCCACACUCAGAUCCAGAGCGUUGCUUCUCCAUUGAGCCGGAAGAUGGCACCAUCCGAACAGCAGUGCUACUGGACCGCGAGACUCAUGUCUGGCAUAACCUCACUGUGCUAGCUACAGAGCUCGACAGCUCUGCACAGGCCUCCCAAGUGCAAGUGGCCAUCCAGACCCUGGAUGAAAAUGACAAUGCUCCCCAGCUGGCUGAGCCCUAUGACACCUUUGUGUGUGAUUCUGCAGCCCCUGGCCAGUUGAUCCAGGUCAUACAAGCCCUGGACAGAGAUGAAGUUGGCAACAAUAGCAGAGUAUCCCUUCAAGGUCCUCUGGACCCCAAUGCUAACUUUACACUCCGGGACAACAGAGAUGGCUCUGCAAGCCUGAUGCUGCCCUCCCGCCCUGCCCCACCCCGCCUAGCUCCUUACCUAGUUCCUAUAAAGCUGUGGGAUUGGGGACAGCCAGCCCUGAGCAGCACUGCCACAAUGACUGUCAGCAUGUGCCGCUGCCGGCCGGAUGGUUCAGUGGCAUCUUGCAGACCUGAAGCUCAGCUUUCACCUACUGGUCUCAGCACUGGUGCCCUUCUUGCCAUCCUCACUUGUGUGAGCACCCUUCUUGCCCUGGUGGUGCUUUACGUGGCCCUGCGGCGGCAGAAGCAGGAAGCACUUAUGGUACUGGAGGAGGAGGACGUCCGAGAAAAUAUCAUCACCUAUGAUGAUGAGGGAGGCGGCGAGGAGGACACCGAAGCCUUUGACAUCAUGGCCCUGCAGAAUCCAGAUGGUGCUGCUCCGCCAGCCCCAGUGCGCCGCGAUGUGCUGCCCCGGACCCGAGCACCACGCCAGCCCAGGCCACCAGGCCCCUCGGAUGUGGCCCAGCUCCUGGCACUGCGGCUGCGCGAGGCAGAUGAGGACCCCAGCAUGCCCCCAUAUGAUUCUGUGCAGGUGUACGGCUAUGAAGGCCGGGGCUCCUCCUGUGGCUCCCUCAGCUCCCUGGGCUCAGACUGCGAGGCUGGCGGUGCUUCCGGCCCCACAGAACCAACGGACGACUGGGGUCCACUCUUCUGCACCCUGGCCGAGCUGUACGGGGCCAAGGAGCCCCCGGCCCCCUGAGCGCCUGGCGGGGCCCUGCCCGCAGCUUAGGGACCCCGCACAGGCCCGCUGAGUGAGCCCCACAGGGUCCCCGCAGGCAGCAGCAGCCAAAGGGCCCCAGGCCCGCACCCAGCCCGUGUGUCUCCUUCCUUCCCCAGAGCACCCUCGCUCUUAUCUCCCUCUCCUGAGUCGGUCUGUGUGUCUUUCUCCUGAGAUCUCUGUCUGUCUGUGACUCUCACACUGUUGGGGAUCUUGGUUUUAUGACCCUGACCCUGAAUCUCUGUUCUUUCACUGUGACCCUCCGUGGCUGUUAUUGUCUCUGUAGUUUUAAAUCUCUCGCCAACUUUGUCUACCUUGCCCAUACACAUGCUCAGUGUCUGUCUCUCACCCACAAGACUUCUCUUUGGGUCCCUGUGACUGGCUUCUUUUUUUUUUUUUUUUUUUCUGUUAUCCAUCCCAAAAGCAAGAGAAAACUUCCAGCCACUGCUGCCCAACCUACUACAGGGGAUGCUAUGCCCCAGACCUGCCCGCAUGGUUCCAUCCUUCGCUCAUGACCUCAUCCUGGCUUCUCACAGAAGGGAAGAACUGAGCCAGCGCCGCCUCCCAGGGCGA